ensembl:lncRNA
GGCAGAGAGAGAGGGUGUGUGUGGGGCAGAGGGAGAGGGUGUGUGUGGGCAGAGAGAGAGGGUGUGUGUGUGUGUGGGGCAGAGAGAGAGGGUGUGUGUGUGUGGGGCAGAGGGAGAGGGUGUGUGUGUGUGGGGAGAGAGAGAGGGUGUGUGUGUGUGGGGGGCAGAGGGAGAGGGUGUGUGUGGGGCAGAGGGAGAGGUGGUGUGUGGCAGAGGGAGAGGGUGUGUGUGUGUGUGGGGCAGAGGGAGAGGGUGUGUGUGUGUG